rnacentral:rRNA from 1 species
UGGGGAAUAUUGCACAAUGGAGGGAACUCUGAUGCAGCGACGCCGCGUGAACGAAGAAGGCUUUCGAGUCGUAAAGUUCUUUUAUAUGGGAAGAUAAUGACGGUACCAUAAGAAAAAGCCCCGGCUAACUACGUGCCAGCAGCCGCGGUAAUACGUAGGGGGCUAGCGUUGUCCGGAAUCACUGGGCGUAAAGCGCGCGCAGGUGGUUUAGAAAGUCUGAUGUGAAAGCCCACGGCUCAACCGUGGAGGGUCAUUGGAAACUAAUAAACUUGAGUGCAGGAGAGAAAAGUGGAAUUCCUAGUGUAGCGGUGAAAUGCGUAGAGAUUAGGAGGAACACCGGUGGCGAAAGCGGCUUUUUGGCCUGCAACUGACACUGAGGCGCGAAAGCGUGGGGAGCAAACAGG